rnacentral:rRNA from 1 species
CCUACGGGAGGCAGCAGCNNGGAAUUUGCAAUGCGCAAGCCUGAUCCAGCCCCUCGCGUGCAGGACGAAGGCCUUCGGGUUGUAAACUGCUUUUGUACGGAACGAAAAGGUCUUCUCUARUACAGAGGGGNCCAUGACGGUACCGUAAGUANUACGCACCGGUAACUACGUGCCAGCAGCCGCGGUAAU